rnacentral:rRNA from 1 species
UAGGGAAGUCUUCCACAAUGGACGCAAGUCUGAUGGAGCAACGCCGCGUGAGUGAAGAAGGUCUUCGGAUCGUAAAACUCUGUUGUUAGAGAAGAACACGAGUGAGAGUAACUGUUCAUUCGAUGACGGUAUCUAACCAGCAAGUCACGGCUAACUACGGGCCAG